CGCAUCGACCGAGACUCAGCCUUGCCUCGGCUUGGUGUACUUCUCGGCUGAUGGGUCAGCAUCGAUUUCGACCCUUGGAUAAUGGCGGGGGAAAGGUGGCACCUUUACCGGUGUGUUAUAGUCCUCUGUCGGAUGUGGGGGUUGGGAUCGAGGAACUCAGCAUGCGCCUUUUGGUGUCGGGGCCUUGGCCCACGUCUACGUGCUUAGGAUGCUGGCAUAAUGGCUUUAAACGACCCGUCUUGAAACACGG
rnacentral:rRNA from 1 species